ACAGUACAAACUGAGCAGGCGAUGAACCUUUAGGUCAUGGGGCCGGGCCGCUUUUGUGGCAGCAGAUUGCAAUUUCAGCACAUCUGUGGGACAGUU
rnacentral:ncRNA from 29 species